rnacentral:rRNA from 1 species
UACAAGAAGUCAGAGCCCGUUAAAGGGUGAUGGCGUGCCUUUUGUAGAAUGAACCGGCGAGUUACGUUAUCGUGCGAGGUUAAGUAGAAGAUACGGAGCCGAAGCGAAAGCGAGUCUUAAUAGGGCGACAGUACGAUGAUGUAGACCCGAAACCGUGUGAUCUAGCCAUGACCAGGUUGAAGUUCAGGUGAAACUGAAUGGAGGACCGAACCGACCCCCGUUGAAAAGUUGGCGGAUGAGUUGUGGCUAGGGGAGAAAUUCCAAUCGAACACGGAUAUAGCUGGUUCUCCCCGAAAUAGCUUUAGGGCUAGCGUCGAGGUAGAGUCGCAUGGAGGUAGAGCACUGAAUGUACGAUGGCCCCAUCCCGGGGUACUGAGUAUAAUCAAACUCCGAAUGCCAUGAAGACGUACUCGGCAGUCAGACUGUGGGUGAUAAGGUCCAUGGUCAAAAGGGAAACAGCCCAGACCGCCAGUUAAGGUCCCAAAAUGUAUGCUAAGUGGAAAAGGAUGUGGGGAUGCACAGACAACUAGGAGGUUGGCUCAGAAGCAGCCAUCCUUCAAAGAGUGCGUAACAGCUCACUAGUCGAGUGACCCUGCGCCGAAAAUGUACCGGGGCUAAGCAUACUACCGAAGCUGCGGAUUCAACUUAAGAGUUGAGUGGUAGGGGAGCGUUGCAUGCACGUAGAAGCCGUACCGUAAGGAGCGGUGGAGAGCAUGGAAGAGAGAAUGCCGGUGUGAGUAGCGAGAUGUAGGUGAGAAUCCUACACACCGAUAGCCCAAGGAUUCCAGGGGAAGGUUCGUCCGCCCUGGGUAAGUCGGGACCUAACGCGAGGCCGAAAGGCGUAGUGGAUGGAAAACAGGCAGAUAUUCCUGUACCCGCGAUGGAAAUGAAGGAAUGACGGAGAAGGCUAGUGUGAGCCACUGAAUGGAUUGUGGUCGAAGCAUAUAGCAGGCUGACAGUGAAAUGCGUCAGCGGGAUGUAAGAUGUGACAGGUAAGGGAACGUCCUUGGACAAGUACUGAAGCACAUGAUGCCAGCUUCCAAGAAAAGUUUCUAGUGAUAAUUCCAUAGCGGCCCGUACCAAAACCGACACAGGUGGGCAAGGAGAGAAUCCUGAGGUGAGCGAGAGAACUGUUGCCAAGGAACUCGGCAAAAUGACUCCGUAAGUUAGCGAUAAGGAGUGCUCUUGUAAAAGAGAGCCGCAGUGAAGAGGCCCAAGCGACUGUUUAACUAAAACACAGCUCUCUGCAAAGUCGCAAGACGAAGUAUAGGGGGUGACGCCUGCCCGGUGCUGGAAGGUUAAGAGGAUUUGUCAUCCGCAAGGAGAAGCAAUGAAUUGAAGCCCCAGUGAACGGCGGCCGUAACUAUAACGGUCCUAAGGUAGCGAAAUUCCUUGUCAGGUAAGUUCUGACCCGCACGAAAGGCGUAACGAUUUGGGCGCUGUCUCGGCAGCAGACUCGGUGAAAUCUUAGUACCUGUGAAAAUGCAGGUUACCCGCAACUAGACGGAAAGACCCCAUGGAGCUUUACUGUAGCCUGAUAUUGAAUUUUGAUCAAAGAUGUACAGGAUAGGUGGGAGGCGAAGAGACGUGUACGCCAGUAUACGAGGAGCCGCUGUUGGGAUACCACUCUUGUUUGAUUGAAGUUCUAACCUGCACCCAUGAACUGGGUGAGGGACCGUGUCAGGUGGGCAGUUUGACUGGGGCGGUCGCCUCCUAAAGAGUAACGGAGGCGCCCAAAGGUACGCUCAGAUUGGAUGGAAAUCAAUCGACGAGUGCAAAUGCAGAAGCGUGCUUGACUGUGAGACAAACAAGUCGAACAGGGACGAAAGUCGGGAUUAGUGAUCCGGCGGUGCCGAAUGGAAGGGCCGUCGCUCAACGGAUAAAAGCUACCCUGGGGAUAACAGGCUGAUCUCGCCCAAGAGUUCACAUCGACGGCGAGGUUUGGCACCUCGAUGUCGGCUCAUCGCAUCCUGGAGCUGAAUUCGGUUCCAAGGGUUGGGCUGUCCGCCCAUUAAAGCGGUACGCGAGCUGGGUUCAGAACGUCGUGAGACAGUUCGGUCCCUAUCUGUUGUGGGCGUUGGAGAUCUGAGGAGAGCUGUCCUUAGUACGAGAGGACCGGGAUGGACCUACCGCUGGUGCACCAGUUGUUCCGCCAGGAGCAUAGCUGGGUAGCUAAGUAGGGAAGGGAUAAGCGCUGAAAGCAUCUAAGCGCGAAGCCUACUCCAAGAUGAGAUCUCCCAUUCGUAUAACGAAGUAAGACCCCUUGA